AUUAAACGCUGGCGGCAUGCCUUACACAUGCAAGUCGAACGGUAGCGCGGGGCAACCUGGUGGCGAGUGGCGAACGGGUGAGUAAUACAUCGGAAUGUACCCAGUAGUGGGGGAUAACUAGUCGAAAGAUUAGCUAAUACCGCAUACGCACUAUGGUGGAAAGCGGGGGAUCGCAAGACCUCGCGCUAUUGGAGCAGCCGAUGUCCGAUUAGGUAGUUGGUGGGGUAAAGGCCUACCAAGCCUGCGAUCGGUAACUGGUCUGAGAGGACGACCAGUCACACUGGGACUGAGACACGGCCCAGACUCCUACGGGAGGCAGCAGUGGGGAAUUUUGGACAAUGGGGGAAACCCUGAUCCAGCAAUGCCGCGUGC
rnacentral:rRNA from 1 species